UGAACGCUGGCGGCGUGCCUAAUACAUGCAAGUCGAGCGAACGGACGCGAAGCUUGCUUCUCUGUUGUUAGCGGCGGACGGGUGAGUAACACGUGGAUAACCUACCUAUAAGACUGGGAUAACUUCUGGAAACCGGAGCUAAUACCGGAUGAUAUUUUGAACCGCAUGUUUCAAAAGAGAAAGACGGUCUUUCUGUCACUUAUAGAUGGAUCCGCGCUGCAUUAGCUAGUUGGUAAGGUAACGGCUUACCAAGGCAACGAUGCAUAGCCGACCUGAGAGGGUGAUCGGCCACACUGGAACUGAGACACGGUCCAGACUCCUACGGGAGGCAGCAGUAGGGAAUCUUCCGCAAUGGGCGAAAGCCUGACGGAGCAACGCCGCGUGAGUGAUGAAGGUCUUCGGAUCGUAAAACUCUGUUAUUAGGGAAGAACAUAUGUGUAAGUAACUGUGCACAUCUUGACGGUACCUAAUCAGAAAGCCACGGCUAACUACGUG
rnacentral:rRNA from 1 species